UUAAGCGACUAAGCGUACACGGUGGAUGCCCUGGCAGUCAGAGGCGAUGAAGGACGUGCUAAUCUGCGAUAAGCGUCGGUGAGGUGAUAUGAACCGUUAUAACCGGCGAUUUCCGAAUGGGGAAACCCAGUGUGUUUCGACACACUAUCAUUAACUGAAUCCAUAGGUUAAUGAGGCGAACCGGGGGAACUGAAACAUCUAAGUACCCCGAGGAAAAGAAAUCAACCGAGAUUCCCCCAGUAGCGGCGAGCGAACGGGGAGGAGCCCAGAGCCUGAAUCAGUGUGUGUGUUAGUGGAAGCGUCUGGAAAGGCGCGCGAUACAGGGUGACAGCCCCGUACACAAAAAUGCACAUAUUGUGAGCUCGAUGAGUAGGGCGGGACACGUGGUAUCCUGUCUGAAUAUGGGGGGACCAUCCUCCAAGGCUAAAUACUCCUGACUGACCGAUAGUGAACCAGUACCGUGAGGGAAAGGCGAAAAGAACCUCGGCGAGGGGAGUGAAAAAGAACCUGAAACCGUGUACGUACAAGCAGUGGGAGCCUCUUAAUGGGGUGACUGCGUACCUUUUGUAUAAUGGGUCAGCGACUUAUAUUCUGUAGCAAGGUUAACCGAAUAGGGGAGCCGAAGGGAAACCGAGUCUUAACUGGGCGUUAAGUUGCAGGGUAUAGACCCGAAGCCCGGUGAUCUAGCCAUGGGCAGGUUGAAGGUUGGGUAACACUAACUGGAGGACCGAACCGACUAAUGUUGAAAAAUUAGCGGAUGACUUGUGGCUGGGGGUGAAAGGCCAAUCAAACCGGGAGAUAGCUGGUUCUCCCCGAAAGCUAUUUAGGUAGCGCCUCGUGAAUUCAUCUCCGGGGGUAGAGCACUGUUUCGGCAAGGGGGUCAUCCCGACUUACCAACCCGAUGCAAACUGCGAAUACCGGAGAAUGUUAUCACGGGAGACACACGGCGGGUGCUAACGUCCGUCGUGAAGAGGGAAACAACCCAGACCGCCAGCUAAGGUCCCAAAGUCAUGGUUAAGUGGGAAACGAUGUGGGAAGGCCCAGACAGCCAGGAUGUUGGCUUAGAAGCAGCCAUCAUUUAAAGAAAGCGUAAUAGCUCACUGGUCGAGUCGGCCUGCGCGGAAGAUGUAACGGGGCUAAACCAUGCACCGAAGCUGCGGCAGCGACACUAUGUGUUGUUGGGUAGGGGAGCGUUCUGUAAGCCUGUGAAGGUGGCCUGUGAGGGUUGCUGGAGGUAUCAGAAGUGCGAAUGCUGACAUAAGUAACGAUAAAGCGGGUGAAAAGCCCGCUCGCCGGAAGACCAAGGGUUCCUGUCCAACGUUAAUCGGGGCAGGGUGAGUCGACCCCUAAGGCGAGGCCGAAAGGCGUAGUCGAUGGGAAACAGGUUAAUAUUCCUGUACUUGGUGUUACUGCGAAGGGGGGACGGAGAAGGCUAUGUUGGCCGGGCGACGGUUGUCCCGGUUUAAGCGUGUAGGCUGGUUUUCCAGGCAAAUCCGGAAAAUCAAGGCUGAGGCGUGAUGACGAGGCACUACGGUGCUGAAGCGACAAAUGCCCUGCUUCCAGGAAAAGCCUCUAAGCAUCAGGUAACAUCAAAUCGUACCCCAAACCGACACAGGUGGUCAGGUAGAGAAUACCAAGGCGCUUGAGAGAACUCGGGUGAAGGAACUAGGCAAAAUGGUGCCGUAACUUCGGGAGAAGGCACGCUGAUAUGUAGGUGAAGCGACUUGCUCGUGGAGCUGAAAUCAGUCGAAGAUACCAGCUGGCUGCAACUGUUUAUUAAAAACACAGCACUGUGCAAACACGAAAGUGGACGUAUACGGUGUGACGCCUGCCCGGUGCCGGAAGGUUAAUUGAUGGGGUUAGCGGUAACGCGAAGCUCUUGAUCGAAGCCCCGGUAAACGGCGGCCGUAACUAUAACGGUCCUAAGGUAGCGAAAUUCCUUGUCGGGUAAGUUCCGACCUGCACGAAUGGCGUAAUGAUGGCCAGGCUGUCUCCACCCGAGACUCAGUGAAAUUGAACUCGCUGUGAAGAUGCAGUGUACCCGCGGCAAGACGGAAAGACCCCGUGAACCUUUACUAUAGCUUGACACUGAACAUUGAGCCUUGAUGUGUAGGAUAGGUGGGAGGCUUUGAAGUGUGGACGCCAGUCUGCAUGGAGCCGACCUUGAAAUACCACCCUUUAAUGUUUGAUGUUCUAACGUGGGCCCCUUACCGGGGUUGCGGACAGUGUCUGGUGGGUAGUUUGACUGGGGCGGUCUCCUCCUAAAGAGUAACGGAGGAGCACGAAGGUUGGCUAAUCCUGGUCGGACAUCAGGAGGUUAGUGCAAUGGCAUAAGCCAGCUUGACUGCGAGCGUGACGGCGCGAGCAGGUGCGAAAGCAGGUCAUAGUGAUCCGGUGGUUCUGAAUGGAAGGGCCAUCGCUCAACGGAUAAAAGGUACUCCGGGGAUAACAGGCUGAUACCGCCCAAGAGUUCAUAUCGACGGCGGUGUUUGGCACCUCGAUGUCGGCUCAUCACAUCCUGGGGCUGAAGUAGGUCCCAAGGGUAUGGCUGUUCGCCAUUUAAAGUGGUACGCGAGCUGGGUUUAGAACGUCGUGAGACAGUUCGGUCCCUAUCUGCCGUGGGCGCUGGAGAACUGAGGGGGGCUGCUCCUAGUACGAGAGGACCGGAGUGGACGCAUCACUGGUGUUCGGGUUGUCAUGCCAAUGGCACUGCCCGGUAGCUAAAUGCGGAAGAGAUAAGUGCUGAAAGCAUCUAAGCACGAAACUUGCCCCGAGAUGAGUUCUCCCUGACUCCUUGAGAGUCCUGAAGGAACGUUGAAGACGACGACGUUGAUAGGCCGGGUGUGUAAGCGCAGCGAUGCGUUGAGCUAACCGGUACUAAUGAACCGUGAGGCUUAACCU
rnacentral:rRNA from 1 species